rnacentral:rRNA from 1 species
UCCUAAGACCAAAUCACCCAGAAUGCGCCCGAUCCCGUCAGAUCUCAGAAACUAACCAGGGUUGUGCCUGGACAGUGCUUGGAUGUGUGAACAUCGUGCAUAUACCAAAGGUGUUAUAGGCA